CACUUCUGACACUUCCAAUAUCAGGAGGCCACCUGCUGCUUGGAAGGAGCUUCGGGAGUUUUGUUGUCAGUGACUAAGGCUGGAGAGCCACACCAAGGAUCAGAUUUUGGGAGUUGUUGAUCUUGCAGCAGCUCCUGACCACCUUGUCUCAAAAGAUCCAGAGCCAAGUAUAGGAACGUGUCCCUGAAACCUGCAGCCAAGCAUGACUGUAGCCGAAACUUUUCUAGCAAGGCAUCAAGCAAGGAAAGAGAGAGGCAGCUGCUGCAGAUGCCAGGACCAUGGAAGCACAUGGAUGCUGUGAAUACUCCAGAGGCACAGUUGUUUCUAUCAAAUACUAGACUGAUGUUCCCCUUCAGCAAGACCAAGCAGGGAGGUAGUGAGGGAUACUCUGCUCAGUGGGCUUUUCCGACACAGAAACUACACGGGACUCUUCAGUAGAAGAAGGGGGCUCUGUUGAAUUUGGUAGGCAAGAUCCUUUUGU